GACAGAGGCCUCAAGCGUUAGGCGGAAUCACUGGGCUUAAAGCGUGUGUAGGCGGAUCGUUAAGUGUCUUGUGAAAUCCCACGGCUCACCCGUGGAACUGCUGGGCAUACUGGCGGUCUUGGGCCAACUAGGGGCAACUGGAACAAGCGGUGGAGCGGUGAAAUGCGUAGAUAUCCACAGGAACUCCGGUGGCGAAGGCGGCACGCUGGACCUUUUCUGACGCUGAGGCGCGAAAGCCAGGGGAGCGAACGGG
rnacentral:rRNA from 1 species